CACAGAGGGCUGGUGAUGCAGUGCAGCAGAGGGAAGAAGCUGCCAGGGAUGGGGGUAUUGUCACCCAGGGUCACCAGAGACACUGUGACCUGAAAGACAGCCCAGCCAGACGGGUUCCUCCAGCUGUAAUCUUGGGAGCAGAGCCGUGGUGGUGAAACCGUGCCCUGAUGUAAGAUCUGGAUCCCAAGCUUUCACUGGAGAAUGAGGCCAUGGAUGCAGGAGAGGCCAGGAUGAGGAAAGGGCUGAAAUGUUCCACCAGAUCCUCGCUCACAUGGAUCAGCCACAGCACAGGAGCCAUGAGGAGACUGACAGCCAGGAAGCCAAAGUGGGAAUGCUCAAGAAGAGGAAUGUUCUCACCCAGAGGUGCUGUUGUAACAAGAGCCAGAACUUCUCUUGGAUAAAAGCUUCCCUUGGAGCACUUCCAUGUUACCUAAUGGCUUCCUGAGAGAAGUGGGACAGCCUUCAGCUGGAGAGGCAGAUGGCACACCUGGACCUUUACCACCUGCCCUGAUCCAGGAGAAUUUGCCUGGCUUUUUCAAGGGAAGGAAACCGCAUCUUUCCUUCCAGUCUAGAGAAGAAAAACGGCAGCGCUGCCCCUGUACUGCUUUUGGAAUACCCCAAAGGCUGGAAGCAGAUGAGCGGUAGAGAUCAGAGCUUAGUUCAUCCCGUGUUUCCAAGGCACAGGUGCUUAGAGGUGCUGAAAAGCAACACCCUGGAAGUAUUGGAGCAGUUUCUGUUCCUACCUGCAUGGUGAAGCGGAGAGCCUUCCUCUGUCCUGGUGCUCCUCGGGGCAGAUCCACAGGUAAGAUGGGCUGGAGGCUCCUGGGCUUCCUUGUCGCGUGGUUUCCGUCCCCAGCUCCUUUGCCCGAGGACUCAUGUGCAGCGCCCUGACUUCCGUGUGGGACUCCCGUCUGCCUUGGGAGGGAGCUGAUAUCGGGAGGAGGUGAGGAAGCUGCCCUUCACCCUCGCUCAGAGGAGUGGCAAGCCCAGAACCGCCCAGCACCGGGGCAGACUCACUCCAACAGGUCCAUGUCCUUCCUGUGCUGGUGCCCCCAGAGCUGGAUGCAGUGAUCCGGUUGGGAUCUCACAUGAGCAGAGCACAGAGGCAAAAUCACCUCCCAUCUGGAGCUGUGGCUUGGAGCAGGGAAUGAAUUCUCACAAAAGGGGUGGGAGGACUUUGCUCUCCAGAGUGUGGGCAUCCAACAGCAGUCCUGAAAGCCUGUGGGCGUUACCAGCCGGUGGGGAAGGCGAGUGUGUGCCCGCAGGUUGGCUUUGGGCGAGGUAUCCAUCCCCUGCAGCAUCUCACGGCGCUCAGAGGAGACUGUGCUGCUGCUGCUCCUGUAUAGGAGGAAUUCGG